CUGAAUUAUCCUUUAAUGAGAUCUUUGUCUUCUCUUUUUGUUCUUUUCUCUGUGUACAGAUGCACAAAGCAGGGUCAUCAGAAGUCCCUCGAUUCAAAAGAUGAGAAUCCUGAGAAACACUGCCCACUGACGGUGAACCCCUGGCACAUGAAGAAAGCCUUUAAAGUCAUGAAUGAACUAAGAAGGUACCGGACUGUCACUCUAAUGCAUAUGCACCCAUUAGCUUUCCUUUUAUUUCUCUUUGUCUGUAGGACCCUGCUCCUCCAUUGUUACUGGGAUACAGGGAACAUCAAAAGCUUUUCUGCAAGGUUUUUAGGAGAAGCAAGGCCUGGGAAGUGCAGUUUUAGUACCUUUGAGAGAAAGUCUGUGUGUUCCAGGUUGAGCAUGACCUUGAACUCCCGACCCUCCCUUUGCCAUUCAAUUGCUGGGUGACAGGCGUGGUCUACCACUAUGCUCCCGCUUAUAAAUAUGCGCUAAAUAUGUUUUUGAUCUUUAAAAUACAGAUUGCAUGAUAAACAUUGUCAGAUA